rnacentral:rRNA from 1 species
GAUGAACGCUGGCGGCGUGCCUAAUACAUGCAAGUCGAGCGAAUGGAUUAAGAGCUUGCUCUUAUGGAGUUAGCGGCGGACGGGUGAGUAACACGUGGGUAACCUGCCCAUAAGACUGGGAUAACUCCGGGAAACCGGGGCUAAUACCGGAUAAUAUUUUGAACUGCAUGGUUCAAAAUUGAAAGGCGGCUUCGGCUGUCACUUAUGGAUGGACCCGCGUCGCAUUAGCUAGUUGGUGAGGUAACGGCUCACCAAGGCAACGAUGCGUAGCCGACCUGAGAGGGUGAACGGCCACACGGGGACUGAGACAAGGCCCAGACUGCUACGGGAGGCAGCAGUAGGGAAUCUUCCGCAAUGGACGAAAGUCUGACGGAGCAACGCCGCGUGAGUGAUGAAGGCUUUCGGGUCGUAAAACUCUGUUGUUAGGGAAGAACAAGUGCUAGUUAAAUAAGCUGGCACCUUGACGGUACCUAACCAGAAAGCCACGGCUAACUACGUGCCAGCAGCCGCCGCAG